ACUCAAAGGAAUUGACGGGGGCCCGCACAAGCGGUGGAGUAUGUGGUUUAAUUCGAUGCAACGCGAAGAACCUUACCUGGCCUUGACAUGUCUGGAACCCCUGAGAGAUUGGGGGGUGCCUUCGGGAACCAGAACACAGGUGCUGCAUGGCUGUCGUCAGCUCGUGUCGUGAGAUGUUGGGUUAAGUCCCGCAACGAGCGCAACCCUUGUCCCUAGUUGCCAGCACGUAAUGGUGGGAACUCUAGGGAGACCGCCGGUGACAAACCGGAGGAAGGUGGGGAUGACGUCAAGUCCUCAUGGCCCUUACGGCCAGGGCUACACACGUACUACAAUGGUCGGUACAAAGGGUCGCCAAGCCGCGAGGUGGAGCCAAUCCCAGAAAACCGAUCUCAGUCCGGAUCGGAGUCUGCAACUCGACUCCGUGAAGUCGGAAUCGCUAGUAAUCGCGGAUCAGCAAUGCCGCGGUGAAUACGUUCCCGGGCCUUGUACACACCGCCCGU
rnacentral:rRNA from 1 species